UACGGGGGGGGCAAGCGUUGUUCGGAAUACUGGGCGUAAAGGGCUCGUAGGCGGCCAACUAAGUCAGACGUGAAAUCCCCAGGCUCAACCUGGGAACUGCGUCUGAUACUGGAUGGCUUGAAUCCGGGAGAGGGAUGCAGAAUUCCAGGUGUAGCGGUGAAAUGCGUAGAUAUCGUGGAGGAAUACCGGUGGCGAAGGCGGCAUCCUGGACCGGAUGACGCUGAGGAGCGAAAGCCAGGGGCGCAAACGGG
rnacentral:rRNA from 1 species